rnacentral:rRNA from 1 species
UACAUAGGGAGCAAGCGUUGUCCGGAAUCAUUGGGCGUAAAGCGCGCGUAGGUGGCCUCAUAAGUCCGCUGUGAAAGUCAAAGGCUCAACCUUUGAAAGCCGGUGGAUACUGUGGGGCUAGAGUACGGAAGAGGCGAGUGGAAUUCCUGGUGUAGCGGUGGAAUGCGCAGAUAUCAGGAGGAACACCAAUAGCGAAGGCAGCUCGCUGGGACGUUACUGACACUGAGGCGCGAAAGCGUGGGGAGCGAACAGG